UGGUGUGGUAGGUAGAUUAUGUCUCUCUCUGUGGCACUGUGGUGUGGUAGGUAGAUUAUGUCUCUCUCUGUAGCACUGUGGUGUGGUAGGUAGAUUAUGUCUCUCUCUGCAGCACUGUGGUGUAGUAGGUAGAUUAAGUCUCUCUGGUUUGAUUGGUCAAGUAAAAGUAGUGCUUACAGAAUAAGGUGCAUAUUUUGUUUUUAAAUAGCUGGUAUCUAUUCAUGUUUAUUAGACAUUUCAAUCUUAUUACAAGUUACAUUGUUUUUGUUUUAUAUAUUUGUUUUCUGCAAUAACAACAACCGUUGUAGCUGCAUUUACUGCUGGUCCAGUUAGACUCCAUGUUAAUAUGUAGUGUUCUUCAGUAAAAUCCAUGUUAAAAUGUAGUAUUCUUCAGUUCUCUCUGGUAGCAACCAGCUAGCGACACAGAGGACAGCCUCCGGACAGGCCUUCUGUACUCUUCUAUAUGAUCAGUUUGGAUUCUAAUCUAUAACAAUAAUAUGUUUUCCGCAACGUUAACGUAAUCGUUCUAUAGCGUUAUUGAUAAUCCCUGGAUGCUACUGCGUUUUUUUGGGUUUUGGCAUGACUGAAAAUAGCAUUAACGCAACAAACCAGCCGGCGAGAUCGACCCAGAGUCGACCUUUUAUGAUAACCUUUUUUUUUCUUCAUUUCGUGUUUUCCAUGUCGUCGUUGUUUCUACUUCUCUGAUGAACAACUGUGGGUGUGUAGCGGUAUGCAUCUUAUGAGCACAAGAUGUUGAAAAUAAGUAUUUCAAACUAUUUUGCUCACUGGGUAGAUAGGCAGCUGCAGCUUGUGAAACAAACUUGUUUUACUAACUCCUGUACCAAGGCAGCAGACAUUCCUUCCUAUAGGGAACCUAGGACAGGCGUUGCAUUCGUAUCAGUAUUAGUAUAGCUACUAACUUAGUAACAGAAAGGUGGUGAUUUAGUGUUGCAACAUUGCGGAAACUUUCCCUGAAAAUUCCUUGAUUUUUCCAGGAAAUCCUGGUUGGAAAAUCCACAAAUCUUCCAAGCAACCAGAAUUGAUAGAACACCUGAGAAUUUUGGGGGAUGUAACCGUAAUGUGCAAAUCUAGUGGUGAAGGUGACAGAACAUGGUUAAAGCUCUAGGGUUGAUGAAGCACUGUCUAUACAGCUCCUAUAUGCCCUUACAUUCCAUCAUCCCAAGUCAAAUCUAUAGUUCCUGUAACUACAUCCAAGGCUACACGUCCUACAUGAAACCCUAUUCCCAAUGUAAAGCGGCACACUUUGUCUGGCCACAAUUAGUGCAUAAGGAUUAGGGAUGUCAUUAGGGACGGAGCCUAAACCACAUUCUCUCAGAGACCGGAUCCAGCUGAACCUAAACCAUAUUCUCUCAGAGCCCGGAUCCAGCUGAACCUAAACCACAUUCUCUCAGAGACCGGAUCCAGUUGAACCUAAACCAUAUUUUCUCAGAGACCGGAUCCAGCUGAACCUAAACCAUAUUCUCUCAGAGACCGGAUUCAGCUGAACCUAAACCAUAUUCUCUCAGAGACCGGAUCCAGCUGAACCUAAACCACAUUCUCUCAGAGACCGGAUCCAGCUGAACCUAAACCACAUUCUCUCAGAGACCGGAUCCAGUUGAACCUAAAUCAUAUUCUCUCAGAGACCGGAUCCAGCUGAACCUAAACCAUAUUCUCUCAGAGACCGGAUCCAGCUGAACCUAAACCAUAUUCUCUCAGAGACCGGAUCCAGUUGAACCUAAACCAUAUUCUCUCAGAGACCGGAUCCAGCUGAACCUAAACCACAUUCUCUCAGAGACCGGAUCCAGCUGAACCUAAACCAUAUUCUCUCAGAGCUGAUCC